UUUCCGUAGGUGAACCUGCGGAAGGAUCAUUGCUGAAAGCUUGCACAGCGUUGGUUGACAUGUGAACUUGUCGCAACAUAUACAAGGGGUGCAUUUGGAGCUGCUCUGUCUCUCACCAUGGCCAAUGGGUUUGUGGUCAAGAAUCCAUGUGUGUACCCCCUUUUAACUCAAAUUGGCAUUGGACGUGCCAAGGAAACUCAAUUUUAAAUUCUAUCCCAUGGCCCUUGCAUGAUGCGUGCGUGGGUUUGAGGAGGAGACAUGUGAAAUAGUCGAUGAUAGAUGACUCUCGGCAAUGGAUAUCUUGGCUCUCGUAACGAUGAAGAACGCAGCAAAAUGUGAUACUUGGUGUGAAUUGCAGAAUCUCGUGAGUCAUUGAGUUUUUGAAUGCAAGUUGCGCCUGAAGCCAUUUUCUUGGUCGAGGGCACACCUGCCUGGGUGUCAUGUAUGGAGUUUUCCCCGGGGCCUCCUCCUCCACGAGACCCACUGGUUGGUUGGUUUUUGCUUGGGGUGGAGGGGUGGGGGACCCCUCGGGUGUAUGUUGGCCUCCCAUUCCUUGUUGUGUGGUUGGUUAAAAUUUGGGGUCCUCGGUGGCAUGUGUCGUUGAUGAGUUCUUGUAAACAAUGCUUGCCCCGUGUUGGCAGGUGAGCUCCUCGGUCCCAUGGCUUCCUUCACACUACAAUGGAGUCGCCA
rnacentral:misc_RNA from 1 species